rnacentral:rRNA from 1 species
UACGAGUGCCUCAAGCGUUAUCCGGAAUCAUUGGGCGUAAAGGUUGUGUAGGUGGUUGUAUUAGUCUCUUGUUAAAUUCUUCGGCUUAACCGGGGGCAUGCAAGGGAAACGGUACAACUCGAGGAUGCGAGGGGUCUGCGGAACUCAUAGUGUAGCGGUGAAAUGCGUUGAUAUUAUGGGGGAACACCAAAUACGAAGGCAGCAGACUGGAGCACUCCUGACACUGAAACAAGAAAGCGUGGGUCGCGAAUGGG